rnacentral:misc_RNA from 1 species
UUGUUCGAAGCCUUGCUGCGCUACACUGGCGAGCAACUCGUCGCGAUCGCGGAAAUGGCGAUACGGCGCUGCCGGGCUGACACCGGCCGAGCGCGCGGCCUCGGCGAAGGCGAAACCCGCCGGGCCCUUGUUCCCAAUCCGCUCGAGCGCGGCGCACCAGCGCCUCCUUCAGAUUGCCGUGAUGGUAGCCGCCCUCGCGGCGGCCGCGGUUCUUCCAGCUCAUUUUGCGUAUCUACUCAUGUAAACU